rnacentral:rRNA from 1 species
UACGGAGGGUGCGAGCGUUGUCCGGAAUCACUGGGCGUAAAGGGCGCGUAGGCGGCUGGGGAAGUCGGCGGUGAAAGCCCGGAGCUCAACUCCGGGUCGGCCGUCGAGACUCCUCGGCUCGAGCUCACUAGAGGCAGAUGGAAUUCCGGGUGUAGCGGUGGAAUGCGUAGAGAUCCGGAAGAACACCGGUGGCGAAGGCGGUCUGCUGGGGGUGAGGCUGACGCUGAGGCGCGACAGCGUGGGGAGCAAACAGG